CCCUAACUUCAGGAAAUGUAUCGUGGAAAUAUGUAGGCAUCCAUGAAAGUAAUACGAAGAAACAGUUAUUUUGGCAAGCAUGUCCGAUGACACAAGACCUGAAAAUUAUAGUGAAACAAUCACAAAGACUGACAGGCCUAUAUAAAUGUAAAGUAUUGUAUUUCAUAUGCAUCAUACUUACCAGAAAGCAGGUUGGGACAAUAGUUUGGACCAAGGUAAAGUGUAAUUAGUAUUUGACUUAGUAGAAGCUUUUGCCUUAAAAGGCAGAAUGUAGUAGCUUAAUAAAGCUGUCCAAGCCAAACUCAUGCCCCCUAAAUAUGUGAAUUAAUAAGCAUCAUGAAAGUAUCUAAUCUGCUUGAAAACAAAGUUAAUAAAGAAAUGCAUUCAACUAUGUUGUUCUUAUAU